GUUUCACCGCGUUGGCCAGGCUGGUCUCAAACUCCUGACCUCAAGUGAUCUGCCUGCCUCAGGCUCCCAAAGUGCUGGGAUUACAGGUGUGAGCCACUGCACCUGGCCGGUCAGCAUCUUUUCAACACAGCCAGUCUCUGUGGAAUGAACCCUUCGUGUUCACCUUCCUUACCUGCCCCUGAAGUCCCUCCUUCCUGCAGGGCCCAACUCCACGUAGAGUGAGUGCAGCCACACAGCAGUAACCAGAUAGAGCAGCCUCCCCUGCAGACAUGAGCAAAGAAGGGAUCCAGAGAGCCAAGGCUGUAUCCUGAAAAGCAAGAAGGAUAGGGAGUAGGGCAAGUGCAGCAAAGAAGGGAAAUUAAAAGGGCAGGACCAAGGCUUUGUAGACCACAAGAAGGAAGAGAAUGUGCUCACAUAGAUUCUUGUGGGGUCAAAGGGGCAGUCGGUGUGUCCCGGCCCCUCAUCCAGUGGUACCAGAGGAUCCAGCAGUCCUGGGUGGCAGUCAGCAAUAAGGCGGCGGCCACCGUUGGCCACAGUGAGUGACACGGCAAGAAGAAGGCCCAGAGAGCAGGCAGCGGACAAGAGCAGGUUCACCAGAGCUAGCACCAGCAGGGCCCAGUGCUGGCAGGGACAGAUCAGGGUGAACAGCCUGGGCCUGGCUAACUCCCAGUGACUAGACACCCAGUUUCUCUAUUUGAGGCUCCUCCAAUCUAUUGAAAGACCAAUCUCAGCCCCCAUUUCCCUGACUCAAGCCUACUCUAAAAGCUCCAGGAAGUCCCUUCUCACCAGUGGAGGGCGAAGAAGGUUCCUGGACGCCAGGAGAGCCACAAGUCCCACGGAAACGCUCUGUGGAAGACACAAAGCCUUUGGCUUGAUGGGCUUUCUGGGCGCCCGACCCCCGCCCCGGGCCGCCUGCCGCGCUCACCAGCAGCCCCGAGCCGACGGAGAUGACAUUGGCCACGGUGUACUCUGGCGUGACAGCGCCACGGGGAUUGGCCACGUGCCGCAGGACAGUGCCGUGCAGCACAGCCCCCAGCAGCAAGUUCACGUGGCCCACCAGGAUCAGCGCCAGGCCCACGCGCAUCAGCCGCCGGGGCCCCCGGGCGGCGUCUGCAAAGCACGGCAGACAAGUCAGCCGGCUCUGGUCAGCCUAGGGGAGAAGUGCUCAGUGACAUGGGGGCUGAGGAAGAGAAGGCAUGAGGGCAGCCAGGGCAGAUGAAGGCAGAAACCUCACCUCACUAAUGAAGCCCAGCUGUACCAGCUCAGCUGCCAACUCAGGGAUGUUCUCAUCUGACAGAGAAACAGGAGGGGCCAUGGAGACAAUCCACACCCACACAGCCCCCACCUUGCGAGUCUCCACCUCAGCUGGUUCAGGUGUCGGAGUCUUGACAGAGGGAGGCACAACAGGUGAUGUCACCUCCUCCUGCUGUGGCUGCUGGGGCCGAGGCAGCCCAAAGGCUGUCAGAGGAUAGAUCCCAUUCCUGGAAGAAGAUGAAGACAGGUCACAUGGACUCUGUGAAUGCCUUAGGAUACCCAACCCUGCUUGCUUUCUCAAGAAAGCCUGCCUUCUCACUCUGCUCUCACCUGACAUCUUCAAGGAAUUUAUCUAAUUCCAGAGCUGGUGACUGAGAGUACCUGGAGGAGAAAAGAGAAAGGAGAUGGAAGGAAGGAAACAAGCAAAAUAGCAAAUUCAACCAUUCCCAGAGAAUGGACAGUUUACAGAGCCUCAAGAGUGAUAGUGACCAAUUUGCCUCUUUCAGACCCUCUCAGUUACUCACAAAGUCUGAACUGGUUCUCUUCCUGGUCCUGCAGGGAUUUCAGCCAGUACAGCACUGGUAUCCAUGUUUUUGGUGAUCUCCUCCAGAGCAUUCUCUGGGAUCAUGUCUGGAUGGAGUGGGAUGUUAUGAAGGGACAGUCAGAUUAAAUGUCAUAGAAGGCAUGCAGGCAAAGGGGUAAAGAAUCCCUUUGGAGGCCUGGCGCAGUGUCUCAUGCCUGUAAUCCCAGCACUUUGGGAAGCCGAGGUGGACAGAUCACUUGACGCCAGGAGUUCAAGACCAGCCUGGCCAACAUGGCGAAACUCCAUCUCUACUAAAAGUACAGAAAUUAGCCAGGCAUGGUGGCACAUGCCUGUAAUCCCAGCUAUUCGGGAGGCUGAGGCACAAGAAUCGCUUAAGCCCGGGAGCUGGAAAUUGCAAUGAGCUGAGAUCAAGCCAUUGCACUCCAGCCUGGGAGACAGAGUGACACUCUGUCUCAAAAAAAAAAAAAAAAUCCCUUUGGAUAUGGAAGAGGAAAGCAAGCAUGCCAGUGAUAGUUACAGGGUUCCAGACUGGAAGACUAUUCCCCACAGGGCCAAGAGGACUCACGUUGGUGUCCCACAAUGCAGUGGGCAGCAAGGAGUUUGAGCGACGGCACUUCAAACAAUGCUGGGUGGAACAGAAGUUCUCUGGCUGUUGGUCUGCGAGCAGGUUCAGACUGCAGGCACUUUUGAAUGAAUUCCUAGAAAAGAAAAGAAAAGGAACUGGAGCAGGCAUCUGGCAAGCCCCUCAAUGCGUUCAUCUUUAUAACUCUCAUUCUACUUAGCACAAGGCUUUGUACAUAGUAGGGGCUCAGCACUUGCUGAGAAAACAAUAUAUUGAUAAAUGCACCUGAAAGGGCUUCAAAAACUCAAGAUAUUAUAUGAAAGACACCA